rnacentral:rRNA from 1 species
CGUACGAUACGAGUUUGAUCUGGCUCAGAGCGAACGUUAGCGGCGGGCUUAACACAUGCAAGUCGAGCGAGAAAGGGGCUUCGGCCCUGAGUACAGCGGCGGACGGGUGAAUAACACGUAGGUAACCUUCCUUCCAGCGGGGACAACGGUCCGAAAGGACCGCUAAUACCGCAUACGUUCCCUGGGACCCUGGUCCCGGGGAGGAAAGCUCCGCGAGGGGCACUGGAUGAGGGGCCUGCGUAGCAUCAGCUAGUUGGUGGGGUAAUGGCCUACCAAGGCUAAGACGCUUAGCUGGUCUGAGAGGAUGAUCAGCCACACUGGGACUGAGACACGGCCCAGACUCCUACGGGAGGCAGCAGUGGGGAAUAUUGGACAAUGGGCGCAAGCCUGAUCCAGCCACGCCGCGUGAGUGAUGAAGGCCUUCGGGUCGUAAAGACUCUGUGGGGAGGGACGAAUGGCGCCGUGAAGAGCGGCGAGUGACGGUACCGUCCUUAGCAAGCACCGGCUAACUUCGUG